CUCAAGGGAAAUGAAAUUAAGCUGUUUCCCAGAUUUGCUUUUCAAAAUUAGUCCUGGGCCGGCCUUCAAUACUGCAAACACAUUCUGUGUGGCCACAAGGGAGGCCUGACUGCACUGAAUUCUUGGACCAACUACGAAGCUUUGGGGGCCUGACAAGCUGAGGAAAUGCAAGAAAAACGACACAGAUUUCUAAAAGUCUCAUCCUAUCAUGGCACCAGCAUCAGCUUAAAGUCUGAAAUUUCAUGAUUUAAAUCAGGUAUGGCUGCAGAGGUGUGGUUCCCUUUGCACAGAUACUCAGGGAUGAUUCCUCAAGUUCAAGUAAAGUAAAAUAAAGGUAGGAGGCCUAGAAGCAGUUGAUACCCACAUCUCUGCAUGUGCAAGCCUGGAUGUGUAUUUGGGACAAGAUGUUGUGGAGAAGAGUCAGCUGGCCUAUGUGAUCUGCUGGUACGCAGCCCAAGUCCAAGUGGCCACUCUAUACCUUGAGCACAAAGGAAGAAGAGAGAGUGAACUUCAGGCAGGAAGAAGCAAUAAUGUGUGCGAAGUGGGGGCAGAAGGAAGGGUCCUCCCACUCAACUGAAGAAGUCCUCUCCUUAGUGUCUUGCAAGACACCAACCAUGAUGUCAACCAGCCUGUGUUCUCAUCUGCAAGCUCGGUGGAAAAGAACCCACUUCCAAACUCAGAUUGUCAUCAGUUUUCACUGCCUUGUGGUUGUAAAACUUGAGGCCCUUGUUUCUCUUAUUGGCUGAUGUCUGCUGGCCCCACAGACCCUAGAGGUUAUCCACAGUUUCUAGAGUACAUCCACAGUUCCCACAUGGGCUUUACCAACAAGGCUACUUCACCAAGUCAGCAAAGAAAGUCUCUAGAGUGAAUCUACUAGCAAGAUGGAGUCUUCUAUAAUGUAAUGUAAUCACAGGACUGAUAUUGCAUCCCUUUGCCAUAUUCUAUUUGAUAUAAGCAAUCACAAGUUCCACCUAUACACUAGGGGAGGAGAAAGUAGGAAACACAGGGGGUCACCCUCGAGUCCAUCAGCCCCAAAUACCAAAAGCAAAGGGCCCCGUCCUUGUCUGAGUCUCUGUGGAAAUACUGUCUUGCAGAGUAUUGCCCUUACCCCCACACCCAGCAUGUAGUAGCCAUAUCACAGCAAAAACAUGAUUAGGCUGAGAGAGGCCUAAGCUGGUCUCCUGAAAUCUCCUUCCUAGACGGAAAGUAUUCAGAAGUUCCUGGAUGCUCUAGAGAAGGAACUGGAAAGUAAUGGACUUGCUGGAUAGUCAGUUUACCAGAGGGGUCAUCAAGGUAGAGCAAAAUGACCCAGCAGUCACGGGCAGUCCAGGCCAGUAAGCAUGUGGAAGUCAUAGCCAGACUUCAGAAGGCUACAUAGCAACAGCUGGGUCAAAAGAGAGGCCCACCAAGCCAUCACCAAACUGAGAGAAAAGAGCUCUCAAGUUUCUAGCAGUAGAUGCCAACUGGGCAAACACUAACAAUACAGGGAAGGGAUAAGAUCCGGCCAGGCCAGUGAGGACUCACAGAGUCCCCCAAGAGCCUACAUCAAGUUUCCUGGGACCACUCCUCAUUGCCAUGGCAACAGAAUAAACUCCCCCAACUGCCACCUUGAGGGGAAGGAUUCUGAAAGCCUGAGCAUUUACCUGAAAGAGAUGGUUUUAAACCAAAAGGAGACUGACAUAUUGUUAAUUGGCUCAUUUAAAGUUCACAUUUGUUUCCCUGCUACC